rnacentral:rRNA from 1 species
AGGGAUCAUUACAGAGUACUAUACUCCUAAACCCCUGUCUACCUUACCUAUACGUUGCUUCGGCAGGCGACCCCAGGGAGGGGCCGUUGGGUGCCUGCCGGAGGUAUUUUCCAAACUCUUGUUUUAUAAACCUAAAGCUUCUGAGUUGAUACUUUUAAAUAAGUCAAAACUUUCAACAACGGAUCUCUUGGUUCUGGCAUCGAUGAAGAACGCAGCGAAAUGCGAUAAGUAAUGUGAAUUGCAGAAUUCAGUGAAUCAUCGAAUCUUUGAACGCACAUUGCGCCCGCCAGUAUUCUGGCGGGCAUGCCUGUUCGAGCGUCAUUUCAGCCCUCAAGCCCAGCUUGGUGUUGGGGCCCUACGCACCGCCGUAGGCCCCGAAAGUUAGUGGCGGGCUCGCUAAAAUCCUGAGCGCAGUAGCACAUCUCGCUUGUGGUAUUUAGUGGGUGCCGGCCGUUAAACCCCCAAUUUUUAUAAGGUUGACCUCGGAUCAGGUAGGAAUACCCGCUGAACUUAA